rnacentral:rRNA from 1 species
GGGGAAACCUGACGCAGCGACGUCGUGUGAGGGAAGAAGGCCUUCGGGUCGUAAACCUCUGUCAGAAGGGAAGAACAUCCGGGAGUCGAACAGCCUCCCGGCCUGACGGUACCUUCAGAGGAAGCGCCGGCUAACUCCGUGCCAGCAGCCGCGGUAAUACGGAGGGCGCAAGCGUUAAUCGGAAUCACUGGGCGUAAAGCGUGCGUAGGCUGCUUGAUAAGUCAGACGUGAAAUCCCUCGGCUCAACCGGGGAACUGCGUUUGAUACUGUCGAGCUAGAGUCCUGGAGAGGGUGGCGGAAUUCCUGGUGUAGGAGUGAAAUCCGUAGAUAUCAGGAGGAACACCGGUGGCGAAGGCGGCCACCUGGACAGGUACUGACGCUGAGGUACGAAAGCGUGGGGAGCAAACAGGAUUAGAUACCCUGGUAGUCCACGCGGUAAACGAUGGAUGCUAGGUGUCGGGGGAGCGAUCUUCGGCGCCGCAGCUAACGCAUUAAGCAUCCCGCCUGGGGAGUACGGUCGCAAGGCUG